rnacentral:rRNA from 1 species
AUUGAACGCUGGCGGCAUGCCUUACACAUGCAAGUCGAACGGUAACAGGUCUUCGGAUGCUGACGAGUGGCGAACGGGUGAGUAAUACAUCGGAACGUGCCCGAUCGUGGGGGAUAACGAAGCGAAAGCUUUGCUAAUACCGCAUACGAUCUACGGAUGAAAGCAGGGGACCGCAAGGCCUUGCGCGAACGGAGCGGCCGAUGGCAGAUUAGGUAGUUGGUGGGAUAAAAGCUUACCAAGCCGACGAUCUGUAGCCGGUCUGAGAGGACGACCAGCCACACUGGGACUGAGACACGGCCCAGACUCCUACGGGAGGCAGCAGUGGGGAAUUUUGGACAAUGGGCGAAAGCCUGAUCCAGUCAUGCCGCGUGCAGGAUGAAGGCCUUCGGGUUGUAAACUGCUUUUGUACGGAACGAAAAGACUCUGGUUAAUACCUGGGGUCCAUGACGGUACCGUAAGAAUAAGCACCGGCUAACUACGUG